GAAGAAGAGCUGGCACCCCCAGACCCUGCGCAAUGCGGAGAAGGUGCGGAAGGCCGAGCGCAAGAAGAUGGAGGAGCGAGCGCGUGAGGAGACGCGGCGAUGCGCUGAGGACACGGGCGCCCUCCGCACUGCGGUCGCGCACGCAGGGAGGGCUGGAUAGUGGAUUCACUCCACAGCCGUGAGGCGGGACAGAGGUACCUGAACAGGGCUUUGGGAGGUGCAGGCCCUUCCACGGAGCAGGCGAGCGGUCGUGGCUUCUUCCCAGCAGACCUGGAACCCCCGGAAGGGUACAACGGGCGCUCUGGCCGUCAGCGCAGCGCUCCAAGCCGGCGGCUGAAGUCGAUCCCUUUCUUCCCGAGCGGUGACCACCUUUCCGGUCCACCAGUGACGAAGGAGCUGUUCCUCGGACCUGGGGAGAGAUGCAGAGACCUGCUUACGAGUAAGAAACCACCGCUGAAAUAAAGGUGUUCUCCCUCGAUCUAUUUUAA